AAAAGGAUCACAAUGAUCAUCUAGUUUCAACCCUCUUGCUAUGUGCAGGGUUGCCAACCACUAGAACAGGCUGCCCAGAGCCACAUCCAGCCUGGCUUUGAAUGCCUCCAGGGAUUCCCAUUCUGAUAGGGAUGUUGUGCUCAUGACUGCACUAAUCAUUUUAAGGCGUUCAGUACUAUUGCGACAUUGGAGAGACACCUGAGAUACAAUUGUGAAGUGCAUAACAUCACUCAAGAUAGACUCCGGUGUAGAGCCUGGUCCCACGCACACUGCACAGCAGUGGCUUAGAGUCCCUUAGGUAUAGAUGACAGAGCCCUGUGAUUCAAAUUCCCUGACAUGCUUGAAGGCUGUUAUGCACCCAUCAAAAUAGAAUUUCCAAAUAUCUGCAUUACAUAGCGUGCACUGAAGAUGGAUUUUAUAAAUCAAUUUUGAUUCUUCCUGCAAAGUUCUUCGUGGACUUUGUUCUGAGAUCUUCCCACCACCUGAGACCACAACACUCACCCAAGAAGGAGAAAUGUAUGUUCCAAUCAAAAUAUUCACUUUCAUGUGUUUGA
rnacentral:lncRNA from 1 species